GUUUUACGGUCUACCGCUGCGGCGGCUGCGACGCCACUCUCCGAGGUGAGUGAACCUCCUGCUGCUUCUCUUCUUUCUUGGGUUUCAGUCGCCGAGGUGUGAAGCCAUCCUUUGUCUGUUUCUUCCUGUACAGCGAAACCCAAAGUUCCUGUCACGGGGGGGACCGCGGAGGCGUCCUACGAAGAGAGGAUCAUCGUCUCCGAGUGUCCCGAGUCCUGCUCGGCGGGGGUUAACGGGAUUCACUCCAUGGCGGGCUCAGAGAACGACCACCACGAUAGAGAGAAGGCCGAACUGCGGAGAAGGCAGAGGGUACCGGAAGGGGUCUCCUGCGGCAGCGCUUCGUCCGCCACCGGAGGCGUUGGCGCCGCUAAGGAGCCCGGUCCGCAGAGGCUGAGCGCCCCGAGCGGGAGGAAUCGGCACAGAGACGGCGGCUUCAUGCGUGCCUCCAAAGCGCCGGCCGGCACCAGCGGUGUUAGCGUUGAUGAAGCUGCGAAGAGCAACGCCGAUGAGGAGAACAGAGAGAACAAGUUGAUGGGCGACCGUAUGUACAGAUCUCAGAAGGUUCACAGCAGCAACCCUGCUUUCAAGGAUGAGGAGAGGGACGGACUGGGGACUACUCUGAGGAGAACUCCGAGGGCUUCAAUGGAAGGCGGCCGGUUCCCUCCCUACUCGCAGGAGGGCCCUUCCAGUAGCCAUCCGGUGGCGGCGCCGCCACCCUACAACCAUUUCGACGAUCGUCCUCUCAGGAAUAGUUUGA
rnacentral:lncRNA from 1 species